UUCAGGUUAUAUAAUGUUAUUCUGAUGGAUUUUGGAUUUUCAGGAAAUAUUAAAGAGGAAUUUUGACUUGGGCCGCUGGUUGGCUUGGGCCGCUUGGCAAGAAGUGGUGGAUGCAUCUUGUCGGUCUACCAUAAACGACGCGCCACCUUAAAUUGCCUCGAAACACUCCCAACAAAAAUUGAAGCCUCCACUUUACUGUGAUCAUCAAACCCUAAAGUGGCGGAUGAGAAUCAAGAUUUUGUUGCGGAAAUUCGGAAACAAAUUGAUCGAGGAAGUAGGAACGAGAUCUCUAAUAGUUUUGCUUUUAGGGGUUUGCCCUAAUUUUGACAAAAAUGAAUCAUGACAUUUCAACUUCUCGUCAUUUGAUUUCAUUUCAUGCAGGAUGUUGUGCAAUAGUGGCUAUUAUGAUGAAUUUCCUGUUGAUUUAAAGGCUCAGGCAGUGGAAGAGUCAAAAAUCAGGAAAGAAUUAUCUAUUGUUUCGAUGAAGAUUAAGGACAUGCUUCAAAAAUGUAACUUCAAGGGCUUGACCGCCAAAGAAGGUUCAGUCUACUCUCAACAAGCUCGUACUACUUAAAAAACUAUGAGUUUAGAAGAAAAGCGAACAUCGUGAUAGAGGUGCACACAAACUUUUUUCCAAGGUUGUCGAUGAGUCCAAAAAGAGAGAGACUCAGUCUAAAAAGCGAAAGUUAAGUAUAGAAGAGCCUCACCCUUGUGAGGAAGGCAAGGGAGGUGGUAAUUAUGAACCUGAACAUCUGCCUUGGUCAGAACCUAUGAUGCCUGCCAUCCAGUACUCUGUGGAAAAACAGAAUGAGAAUGACAUACCCUACACCACUGUGAGGGAUUUACAUUGCAAUGAUGUACACAUAAGGAAUUUAUCAUGGGUUCUGAAGAGCCCACUACGGCAGUUGAAUGAAUCGCUUGAAGUGGGUGAGCUUGUUGAGGAACCUGUGGAUGCUACAGGGAUAUGUCCUUUUCUAAGUGCCAUACUCCUGAUUCUAUUCGGACUUCUGUAGAUGGCAUUCCUUCCCUCACAGGGUCUACAAGCGCUUCAGCUCAAGAGAGUGGAGGGAUUUGAAUUUAUUGACAUCUUCAAGAUCCCAGAAGAGAACGAGAAUGACACCCUUGAACGGCAAGGACAUUCACAUAGGGAAUUCAUCAUCUUGCUCUGAAGAGGAAACUAUGGGAAUUGGACCACUUCCGCUCAGGAGAGAGUGGAAGGAUUUGAAUUUGCGGUGGUGACUUCAAGAUUCCAGAAGAUUAUAAAACUUUGUACAAGAAGAUCUAUUGUAAGUAUGGGCAUAUGGAAAUUAAAAAAGUCAUCAAGUUCAAUGAUGCUAUGUUAUACACAUGUCUCACCAGUUUAUUGAAGAUCAUCUCGGAUAUGGAAACUGUGCGAGGUGCUGAACCUGUUCUAGGAAUAGUGCUUCAUGAGGUAGAAAAUUAAACUUUUCUCGAUUGUUAGUUAUAAAAUGCAAUGAAGCCCGAGACAUUUGACAUCAGUACGCCAGAUAUUUGCGUAUGAGGUACUUCACUCUCUGUCUAUAGGUUUGUGCUUCUUGUAAAAUUUUGUCAGAUGGACAACUUUUGAUAGACACCUCGCACAGUUGGAAAAAUUA